CUGCUUGUCGUCUAGCGGCCUAGGAUUUCGCACGCCCUUCGGGGAUGCGAGACGUCGGUUCGAAUCCGGCCGGGCAGA
rnacentral:tRNA from 1 species